GGAUGUGAAGACAAUCUGGCCGAGACAUUUCUUGCCCUGAAUGACUGUCAGGGUUGGUUGGCUUAUCUGAUCAGCUAGGUGAAGGUUCCUUUCCUUCUUCACUGCUCCAGGUCAUUUCUCCAGAAGCCGCAUGCUCAGUCAGGGAGGAUGGCCUUCCCGAAAGGAAAAGGACCUUUGCUUGAGGAUAUAUAAGUAGCUACAGUCCCCUACUAGAACCUCCAAACAAGCUUUCCCAAGUUUAGGUUCUUGCAGAACCAGAAUUCCGCCUGGUUAAGCUCAGGAGGUUUUAUAGGUUUUCUUCUAACUUCAACAGCUUGCACUUUCUUAGAGAUUAAGAGUCUGUACCUAGGU
rnacentral:snRNA from 1 species